rnacentral:rRNA from 1 species
CCUACGGGUGGCAGCAGUGAGGAAUAUUGGUCAAUGGCCGGAAGGCUGAACCAGCCAAGUCGCGUGAGGGACGACUGCCCUCUGGGUUGUAAACCUCUUUUAUAAGGGAAGAAUAAAUGCUACGUGUAGCAUAGUGCCUUUACCUUAUGAAUAAACAUCGGCUAACUCCGUUCCAGCAGCCGCGGUAAUACGGUGGAUGCGAGCGUUAUCCGGAUUGGUUGGGUUUAAAGGGGGCGUAGGCGGUUUUUUAAGUUAGUGGUUAAGCGCCGGGGCUACACCUUGAAUUGCCAUCAAUACUGGAAGACUCGAGUUCAGACGAGGUAGGUGGAAUAAGAUAAGUAGCGGUGAAAUGCUUAGAUAUAACUUAGAACUUCGAUAGCGAAGGCAGCUUACCAGACUGCGACUGACGCUGAAGCACGAGAGCGUGGGUAGCGAACAGGAUUAGAUACCCGUGUAGUC